ACUGGUGUAUCGCUUGAACCUGUAUAUUGCGUUAUCGGUCGCGCCAAGUGUAGUUUUGAGUCAUCAUAAUAUACAAGAAUUAUUAUUAUUUUAAUUCCUAUCAUUCUACUUUGGCGCAUGCAGCCGAACCAUCAUGCUGUGCACGGACGUCUCGUCCGACAGGCCGAAGUAUAACUACACGGCGAUGGUGAACGUGCGCAACCUGAACCUGACGCAGGAAUACCUGCAGUACCUGAUCAACAUCACGUCGUCGCUCGAUGUGGACGAGGCGGUGCUGGCGUCGGAGCCCGGUUGCUACAACUGCGGCGGCGCCGUGAAGAGCUACUCGCUGCUGUUCCGGGCGGUGCACGGCUACGUCAGCCUGUUCCUGUGCGUGUUCGGCGCGCUGGCCAACGCGCUCAACAUCGCGGUGCUGACGCGCAAGGACCUGGCCGGUUCGCCGAUCAACCGGAUACUGUGCGGCCUGGCCCUGGCCGACCUGGCCCUAAUGGUCGAGUACACGCCGUUCACGUGCUACAUGUACCUGACCACGGCCAAGAAGGAGGAGUUCUCGUACGUGGGAGCGGUGUACGUGCUGUUCCACACGUACGUGUCCCAGGUGCUGCACACCGCGUCCAUAGCGCUCACGCUCGUCCUGGCCAUGUGGAGAUACGUGGUCGUCAAAUUACCCAACUCUAUGCACACUAUAUGCUCCGACCGGCGAUGUACUAUUGCUAUCAAGUUAUCGUACAUAUUGCCGUUCAUUAUUUGCAGUCCAACGUUUCUAGUGUUCGAAAUACUGGAAACGAGAAUCGUCGAAAACGGCACUGUAGCUACGUUAUAUCAUUUGGGCUUGAGUACAAUAGCAAGAGUUAAUCAUGAAUUAUUGUACAUGAUACAUCUGUGGACAUAUGCUGUGAUCAUCAAACUAUUGCCUUGCCUAAUACUAACCGUCGUUACCAUAUCUCUGAUAAACGCGUUAAGUGAAGCAUCUGAAAGGAAAGCUAAACGACUUCCGACCCAGCAACAAAUGGCUCGUAUAAGGAAUAUGAAACUCAAAAAAAGGAUGGACCGAACAAGCCGUAUAAUGAUUGCAGUAUUGUUAUUAUUUCUUGCAACAGAAUUCCCGCAAGGAAUACUGGGUCUAUUAAGCGGCAUACUAGGAAGGGGUUUUUUUCGAACUUGUUACAAUUUAUUCGGAGAGCUUAUGGAUAUGUUGGCUCUCUUGAAUGCAUCGUUAAACUUUGUAUUUUAUUGCUGCAUGAGCAAACAGUUCCGUGUAGCGUUUGGACAAUUAUUCAAAACUCAGCCAAGCAUUAUGUUUAAGCCUAGCAAUAUUUUGGAAACAUUCGUAUAGGGUUUGGAAGAAGGUUAGGAAAGACGGAUUGAAACCGUGAAAAUUAACCGAAUACGGUCAAUAUGUCCGCUAUUUAAUCCUGAUGGAAAUUACGGUAUGUUUUUUUCGUCAAUCGACUUAUAUAACACAUGAACGAACUCACAAAAAAUCCUGACUACCAUUCAGACAAUUAGGCCUGUUCCCGAAGUCAGGAAUAUGAUCGCACGUAAACGUUACCAUCGUUACCAAACGUUUCCGUGACAAAAAAAUACAUCAGGUUAGCUGUCCAACGUCAUCGGCUAAACCUGAACAUAAUACAAUAUUAUUAUUCGGAGUAAGUAAAUAGCAUUCCCGAAAAAAGGUCAAAAUCAUAUACUGCGUAAAUUGCAAACUUAGUAUUUUUGAAACGUACAUAAAUUGCGUCCCAGGUCAUUUAAUAAAAUAACCU